rnacentral:rRNA from 1 species
UNUGGAUACCACUUGGAAACAGGUGCUAAUACCGGAUAAGAAAGCGGAUCGCAUGAUCAGCUUUUAAAAGGCGGCGUAAGCUGUCGCUAUGGGAUGGCCCCGCGGUGCAUUAGCUAGUUGGUAAGGUAAAGGCUUACCAAGGCGAUGAUGCAUAGCCGAGUUGAGAGACUGAUCGGCCACAUUGGGACUGAGACACGGCCCAAACUCCUACGGGAGGCAGCAGUU